rnacentral:rRNA from 1 species
GAUCAUGGCUCAGGAUGAACGCUAGCUACAGGCUUAACACAUGCAAGUCGAGGGGAAACGACAUCGAAAGCUUGCUUUUGAUGGGCGUCGACCGGCGCACGGGUGAGUAACGCGUAUCCAACCUGCCCACCACUUGGGGAUAACCUUGCGAAAGUAAGACUAAUACCCGAUGAUAUCCCUAGAAGACAUCUGAAAGGGAUUAAAGAUUUAUCGGUGAUGGAUGGGGAUGCGUCUGAUUAGCUUGUUGGCGGGGUAACGGCCCACCAAGGCGACGAUCAGUAGGGGUUCUGAGAGGAAGGUCCCCCACAUUGGAACUGAGACACGGUCCAAACUCCUACGGGAGGCAGCAGUGAGGAAUAUUGGUCAAUGGGCGAGAGCCUGAACCAGCCAAGUAGCGUGCAGGAUGACGGCCCUAUGGGUUGUAAACUGCUUUUAUAAGGGAAUAAAGUGAGUCUCGUGAGACUUUUUGCAUGUACCUUAUGAAUAAGGACCGGCUAAUUCCGUG